UCUCUCUCUCUAUCUCGCCACCCACACACCCUAACCCUAAUCCGACCGCGCCGCCGCUCCCAACCUGCGCGCCUCCGCCACAAACCAUCCGCCGGUCCCCUCGCGCCACCACAUCUUGGACCCCGGCCUCCCUUCCCUUAGUCCGAAGUAGCAGCAGCGCCGUCUGCGAUGGAGGAGCACCGUCCGCCGCCGAGGAACAGCAGCGCCGUCCGCCACCAAGGAUCCGCCGCGCGCCGGGAACAGCAGCACCAUACGCCGGAGGAUCCGCCGCACCGACUGCUGUUGAGGAGCAGCCUGCCGUUCUUCUUCCUCCACCGGCGACCCCUGUCCCGGCCCCGCCUCCAGAUCUCAACAAGUAAGAUGCAGUUUUUUUCCUUACCUAUCUUCUCGUAUGUUGCUAUAUGGAGUCCAUAUUUUAUUGUGAAUGGUUUAUAAUCUGAUGGUAUGCCUUGCGUGAUUAUAGUCGGGUGGUUCCAGGUCUAGGUCAUGGCAUCAGUGGUGUGGCGUUGUUCUGUUUUCUCAAUGAAUAGCAGUCGCUUGUUGGAUGGGAAUUGCUAUUGUAAGUCAUCUCAGCGAGUAGUAUUGACCCCCUAAAGAAAGGAGUAUCGACACAAUACACAAAAUUAUUAGGCUGUAGAUAGUAUGGGGUACAUCAGUACAUGGACAUAAAAAAGUAAAGGAUAUACAUGAUAGUGUUUGCUUGUCUUUGUCAGGUUUUUUAAUUUUCUUUUUGUGUGGCUUCACACACAUGUGCUUUUCCGCCGUACUGUAUCGCCGCAGAGACAAUACUUGCAGGGAUUGUGAAAAAUAACUUGAAGCAUGCCCAUUAGUUAGUAGAGCAUAUAUUUGCAUUGCAGCGAUGACUUUAUUAGUGUGUGUGUUCACUUCUAGGUCACUGCAUCAUGUCAAAAAAAACUGGCACUGCUACAAUUUCUCAAAGAAAAGGAAGUUCAUGUGAAGAACCAUGGCGACACAUGUGAGGAAAAUAUAUUUGAGUCAAUAUAUAUACACAUAUAAAUGGAUGGAAGGAAUGUUCAUAAAGAUUGUCUAUUUGUUCUUUUCUGUGAGGGAAAGACAGUUUAUUAGUUGUUAGUUUGAAAAAUUGUAAAGAAGAUAGUCUGCAGUAAAUGUGUAUAAAAAUAUAGGUCAAUGAUAUACUGUGAUAAUUCCUCCUUGUUUUUUGUCUGCAACAGUUGAUUAAAUUUUUUGAGGGGGGGUUCAAAAAAACACUUCUUGAGCUUCUUUUUGAAUGGCUGAAUAGAUUAAUUAUGUUUUAAUCCGAAGUCUUGCAAGUGUGCUUCACGUGUAAAAUUUUCCUGCGAUUAAAAAUCCUGCCGACCUAUUCUGAACCCAAAUCUGUAUUAUCCACUCGUCAAGCCUAUGAAGGCCCACUGGCUGGGAUCUUAUAUGUUCAAUUCUUAAUUGUCGUUUCAAAUCCUUGGACUAGUGGCUGGGAUCGUAUUAGUUAUUUGGAGAUACCUAUUUGUACGGAAAUUCAGUUAGUAAGUUGAAUAUAGCCCUCUUGUUCUAGCCAUGUGCAGUUGAAUUGAAUAUUUUCGGUCCGCUGCUCAUUCUUGAUUUUUGCAAAAAAAUCUAAAAUCCUUGGUCAGUGGCAUGUUAAUUAUACAUUGCUCGCUAGUUCUAUGCACAUACAAUACUUGGUUGGGACUGAAAACUGUAGCACUUGAGCAAGAAAGGCUGACUACCGAUUCAUUAGCAUGUCAAUAAAGUCAAUCUGGUCUUCCUCUAUGAACUUGUUAGGGCUCAUUAAUAGCAUGGUUUUGCUCACUGAAAUAGGAGAGGAGCUGCACAAAACAGAAAAAGCACACAUGGACAAGUACACUUGACGCAAGAUUGACGAAAUAGAGGAAGAGAGCAUAGGUAAAAACUGAGACCAAAGGCACUGAGACUUGAGUAAUAAUUCCAGUAAGCUCAUAGUACUACUUCCACAACCACGAAUGGUAAAUUUUAAAAGUACAAAUGAAAGCAUAGAAAUUAACACAAAUUGCUAGUUUAGGUCUUCAAUGAUUUCCGAACAGAUUGAAAGUCCAAGCCUUGAUGAAUUGAUAGUUCACACAUGUUUUGUGAAGUAUUUUAAACGAAAUUGCAAUUGAAAUCCAGGUGCAGCUACUGUAGAUAUAUUUGUUGCAAUUAGUACACAUUUUUUCCCUAUCCAAGGUCUUCUACUAUUUCAAUACCCAUCAUAUGUGAAAAUUUGUGGUGAUAAAAGAAAUACAUCUACAGUCUGUAAUUCGUUCCUGAAAGUGAAACUUAACAAUAUCAGUGAGUGCUGAAAUGUACACUCUUGUUUGAUCUAAUUUCUCGAUUCCCUUUCCUUGUACUUCUAAGAAAAUAAUUAAGUCUUGCAUUAGGUAUAGAACACAAAGACAACAUUAGUUGCAUCUUUUAUUGAGGAAGAAACUCAUUAGAUCUAUCUAGGUUGAACAAGUUUAUGUCUAAACUGUCAUAUUUAUUCACAGAUUUUGUCUGCUUGCUUCAAAACAGAAAUGUGGCUUUUGCUUGCUGAUAAUUUCGGUUAUGUUGUGGCUGCCUAUUACUCAAUAUGAUCUCAUUUCAUAUCAUCAAUUUCAGGAACAUUAUCUCAGCUGUCGUUGAUUUCAGAACAGAUAGUUAGCAUUGUACCUUCAAGGGACUAUCCUUUUGCCUACUGAGCAAACAAAACAAAUGUGUAUAUAUAUUUAUUUAAGUGAAACAACAUGCUCCCAUUUUUGGUCAAUCGGUGGAUCUGACUAAUACAUAACUACAUAUAUAUGUGUGAGGUAUUAUUCAUGGGUCAUUUUUCGUAAUUCGAGUAAGCUGAAACUGAUGGUCUCAGAUGGUUUGUGUAUUAACUUUGAUCAGAACCUGCAUCUACAAAUACUGAGUAGAGGGUUGCCUUUUGUGCAGGAAUUUGCAGCAGGAUCCCUUGACUGCUCUCCGCUUGUCCUCACUCCUUAGACUUUCCCUUUGCUUAUCACCAUACAUUUUAUUCAGAGUGGUGUCAAGAUGCAUCUCCUCUGCCAAGAUGAUGGGCAGAGGGCCUAAGCUCUAGGUGAGCUCCUCCACCAAGCAUGUGUUGUAUAUUGUAUGAUGUUUGCAAUCUAAUGCUUUGCUCUGAUAUUUUAAUUUCAUGUAACAUGCAUACUCUCAUGGAUCUGUACGCAUGUGUUUGUAAGAACUUGUACGCAUGAGUUUGUAAGAAGUUGAAUGAUGGUAUGAUGCUUUAUUUUCUACAAAGUUGGGCUAUAUGCUCACUGCUGCUUCCUGAUAAUUGUGCAUGUAACUGGCUUUCUUCACUUCAUUUAAAUGAUUAUUAUGUUUUGGGCUUUGACUUAUGCAUAUAACAACACUACCAAGCCAGUUUGUUGUACAUCUUCUGUUUUUGGUUGUUUGGACUCAAGAGUAACUCAGAAGUUUGAAAAAAUGUACUAUGAUAAUAUUGCUCAAACAUAUGGUGCUUUUGUAGGGUCAAAUGGUGGGAAGUAUCAAGUCGAAGAUAUUAUGGCUUUUGUACAUAUUGUAUUUUCUUUAAAUGGAAGUUGAUGUCGGUUUGGUGAUCGAAGACUUGGGCUCUUCCAUAGUGUUUUGUAGAGUGAUCGAACUUAAGUCUCUUAUGAACUAGGCCCAUAUUUUAUAACAUGCCACAACUUGUAUGUUGACUUGAGUAUUUUUUUCAAUGGUUGUAGCAAGGAAAACUAAUGGGUCUUCUAUAUAUGUUGAAUAAAUGCGUUGGUCAAUGGCAUUUUGUGAUGAAUAAAAGAGUGUAAUUGUUGGUAUAUCUAUUGCAAAGUGAACAUGAAUUGAAUAUUUUAAAUUUAUUUUCAUGUUAAUAUAUGUCGCAUUUGCAUUUGUGCUGAAA
rnacentral:lncRNA from 1 species